CCUACGGGGGGCAGCAGUGGGGAAUAUUGCACAAUGGGCGCAAGCCUGAUGCAGCGACGCCGCGUGAGCGAUGAAGGCCUUCGGGUCGUAAAGCUCUGUCCUAAGGGAAGAAUAAUGACGGUACCUUAGGAGGAAGCCCCGGCUAACUACGUGCCAGCAGCCGCGGUAAUACGUAGGGGGCGAGCGUUAUCCGGAAUCACUGGGCGUAAAGGGUGCGUAGGCGGCCCUGCAAGUCAGGAGUUAAAUCCCUCGGCUCAACCGAGGUCAGCUCUUGAAACUGUAGGGCUUGGGGGCAGGGGGGGAGGGCGGAAUUCCCAAGGUUGGGGUGAAAUGGGUAGGUAAUAGGGGGAACACCCGUGGCGAAGGGGGCCCUUUUGAAUUCAAAUGACGCUGGAGCACGAAAGCGUGGGGAGCGAACAGGAUUAGAUACCCCAGUAGUC
rnacentral:rRNA from 1 species